rnacentral:snRNA from 1 species
AUCGCUUCUCGGCCUUUUGGCUAAGAUCAUGUGUAGUAUCUGUUCUUAUCAGUUUAAUAUUCUCCAGUUGGACAUUAACAAGUCAAAAUGGUCUAAAAGAUUAAUGAGCAACUUCAAGGAGCUCUUCCUGACAAAAUGAAAUCUCUCAUGUUUUCUUUACUUCCUCCUUCUGCAUCUUUC